CCUGUGUAGCCAUCGUGAGUUGCCUAGGUUAUCGCACCUCUAGUGUAGUCCACAUGUGCUGUCACACAGCUCAUUAGCCGCCCCAACGUCAUCGAUUUGAUACUUGCGUGACGUACCACGCAGCCUAACUGCUGAACCGGUUCAUUUCGCGCGAGGGGUGGCCGGAUAUCUCAGUGUGCGACGGGCGUUUUGCCGAAACUUUCUAUUGGCAUAUUUCACAACGAAGGAAUUUGGCUGGAAGCGACCUUUACAUAUCGUAACUUAGUUUAUGAAAUUCUUUUCGCCUGCGUGCGUCAUGAAGUUAAAAAAAGCAAAGCCGGCACACCGCGUCGAACGAGGAGCGAAUCGGUUUGCACCCAGACCAAAUCUCGAAUGGAUUACACCUGACAUUUUCCGCCGCGCAUCUGCGUAGUCGAAUCUAGCAGAGGCGGCGCUUAUAUUUGGAAUUGCGCAUAACAUUAUAUUUGACUAGCUCUUUAAAAGUGGGCAUCGGCGAUAGUGGAGCGGCAAAAGCAAUUGAGGAAUUUUCGCCGGCGGGUGUAAGGGACAGCGUGGACCGAGCGUAGGAAUCGCGCAUCGUUUUGAUAUUUUACACCGUUACCAUAGAAGCUAUAGGCAGCAUUUUUGAGUUCUGACGAGUCGAGUGAGAGCAAUCCGCAUCGAGCGCUCACAGUGACUACGGGCUGCACUAGCGAGAACAUAGAAGUGAAAAUCGCCGAACCGAAAUAAAUAUGCAACACAUCGCAUUAAUAUUAAUAGUAGCGGGCGCCAUCUGUGCGGUGCAGACCGCACCUCAGCCACAUAAUGUUAACGCCGACGACCUGCACGAUAUUAUGAAGAAGCUGCUGCCAUUAUUACAGCGAUCACGCGCCAAAGCCGAAAGCAUCACGUCAGGAGGAAUCGGUGCAGAUGCGAACGAGAUCAAUGGAAAAAACGAGGCGUGGUCAAUGUUUGAGGAUGCCGACAGCGGCGAUGAGAAGCGCUUCGAUGACUACGGACACUGGCGGUUCGGCCGAUCGCAGCUGGCGGCAAGUAACACGGACAAACGAUACGAUGACUACGGCCAUUGGCGCUUUGGCUAGAUAUCAUAAUCGCGCACGCCCCGAUUAGCGAGUUUUCACGAAGGCAACGUACGGUUGAUUAAGCACCUAACUCAUGGGAAAAAGGAAGGGAGAUGGAUUUGCAAGCUUACAUCUAUAGCUCUGUCAAUUGCUUGUACACAUGUAUAUAUAUCAGGACUCUAACGGGAUACCGUUAGUGCUUUUAUAUCUGCUUAAUAGCGAUGUAUCUAUUCCGGGUUACAAUACACGGCACUACUGAUAAUCCUGAUAAUAAUAAAGUACCAGCAAAUCAAUGGAUCCAGUGAGAUAUGAGUGCAUGGCCUGUGGCCUGCGGACAUUUUUUCUAAAUACGUCAACGGGACAAAUCACAAUAAAGUGGCGAAAUGCAAUCGCUAAUUCAUUAUA